GGAUUAUGUGAGUGAGGGCUACAGGACUCCAUACCAAGAAAGCUGCUAGCUUUCCAUUGGAUCUUUCUGAGCUCUAGUGCAGCUGGACUCAUUGCAGCUGAGACAGUGUGUUACAGGAUGAGGGAUGGGAGAAGUGUAGGUUCCCCUGAUUGCAGACUGCAGGUCAGCCCUGCCUUCUCGUUUAAUCUGRAGUUAACUGUCUACCAGCUGCUGCKAAGGUCCAAAAGCAUGCCCAAGUCCCUCAGCUGUAGGAGCCUGCAAAUCAUGUCCAGGUCAUCUCCAAGCUGCCAACAUGGGACCUGUGUCAGUGACUCCUGCGGGAGCUGGGAACCAGCAAGGGCCUAUGCAAGGUGCCUGGGCUUCUGGACUUUUCCAGUGGCUGUUGUCUUCUAAAGACCAAGAGGCAGUAGCAGCCGGCAUUGUGGAGAGCUGCACAGAAGAGCUCCAGGCUGGCCAGCACAGAGGAUGCUSUCUUAAGCACACUGCUUACUCCAUUCGGAAGCACUCUGAACACAGCGAGAAGUGACUAUCCUGGCAAGAGUAGUUCCAAGCCUCAAAUCUCUUGCUAAAUAUUCAGAGUGAUGAAGCAAAGAUGGAUAUUAUUAUUAUUUGGUCGCUUCGAGGUAUAUUUUUAAGUGCUGCACAGAGAUUUAACAUUCCACUAACAACACAGAACAUUUGCUUGGCACACAAGCAGUGACCUUCAAGACUCAUCUGAGGACAAGGCAAGACAAAAAAGCUAAGCUACAGCAGCAGGGAGCUGACAAGUCAGGAAUGUACAUGCUUAAACAAGUUUCACUUAUUAAAAGAAAAUGUAAGCUUCUUUUCUGCGAUAUGUACUGCAMAGACAGACUCCUCCAAUUACAUGGUGUGCCAGUGUACCCUAAUCGUCACCAUCAGAAGGAAAUAGGUCACCAGAACAAUUAGCACCAAAGUGGUGCAUAGCCUCCUCAGCUUGAAUUCUU
rnacentral:lncRNA from 1 species